GUUUUAGGGGAUUUGGGGCUUUAUAUCGUUAAUUCAUACCCGCACCUGUUCUUUGCAUGGACAAAAACUUAGCCAUUUGAAAAUAACUUCCACAUUUGCUGCCCUAAAAGGAGGAAACAGGCCCUAAUGUUUAUGAAUGCAGAAGCUCUGGAAUCAGGCCCGUUCCUAGUCGAGUGCUAAUUUGCCAGUAGAGGGCUCUCUCCUUUUGGGAAAAAUAAACGUCUCCAGAAAAGAUUUUGAGUGUAAUACUCAGGCUCCGAGUGUGGUGUCUCCGUACUUGGUUGGUGUGUCAUUCCCCUGAAAGUUUAGGGAUUAACUGAGUACUGCCUUUGUCGGUGUGUAGGGUGGGUUUAUGUGUGAGGAGGUGUGGGGAGGAAGUGGGUUCCCCAGGGGCUUUAGGGGAAGGCCUGUGAUCUGACCUAGACUAGGGGAUUAUAGCUUUCCCCUCCUUUAGAAUGUGAGGCAUCCCAGCCUGGUUCUGUAUUUCCAGAUUAGAAUCCACUCACUCCUACACCUGGAUCCCUGGGCUACCCUUGUGAGAUGUGUUAACAGGGCACUUAACCCUUGUUUACCAAGCCCUGUUUAUAUAUAUAACCCCUCGUGACUGCUCUUUGAGGCGGAGGCUCCCAGGGUCAGGUGAAAAUCAACUUGGGCGUUGCCAAGGGGAAAAGGAAAAGAGCCAGCGUCCACGGAGCAGUUCCUGAGCAACAAAUAAUGUUUCAGAUGAAGGCUGCUCCGUUAACCUUGAUCCCAGAAUGAAGAAAGGGUGAAGCCUAGCUGCGGUUGACCCAUGAUGGGCAUACCGUACUUCACAAAGGAACAUAAAAGACAAGUACCAGGAAAAGACAUAUUUAUACGGAAGAAAAAAAGGUGAAAACCAAAAUGACCCAAAUGAAAAGAAGAUAAAUAUCAUUCCUCAAACAAUACCUUCACAUCAUAGUUGGAAAAAGUGGAAAGAGACAGAAAACGGGCUGCUGGGUCUCCAGAAGGUAUGCACAGCAUGGGAAUUCCUCCUGCAACAUCUCUUCAGAUGGUCUUUGAGAUGACCUCCUCUUACCUUCCAGACCAGGUGAACAGAUGAGAAGACUAUGUUACAUCCCUACAGUGGACUAUGAUUCAGUGAUUAAAAAGAAAUGAGCUAUCGAGUUAUAAAAAUACAUGUAUG